AUACUUACCUGGCAGGGGAAGUACCAUGAUCACAAAGGUGGUUUCCCCCGGGCGAGGCUCACCCAUUGCACCCUGGGUGUGCUGACCCCUGCGAUUUCCCCAAAUGUGGGAAACUCAACUGCAUAAUUUGUGGUAGUGGGGGACUCCAUUCGCACUCUCCCCUG